GCCCAGAACAAAAGCCACCAGCAAAAGCCCUCAAUCUCCAGCACCUUGCAGCCGAAAAGGGAGGCAAAAUUCUCAGCUUCCCGCCUCCCAAACGCAAGAAAAAGAAACCCUUUUGUGAGAAACCCGGAGAUCUUCAUCGUCAAUGAGAAGGGAAAAAAAAUGGUGAAAUCCAAGAAGACAGAAGCCAGCAAUUCUAACAGAGAAAACCCGGAUGUGUUAGAGAGAAAAAGAUUGAAAAAACUUGCCAUAACAAACAACAUAGUAUCAGACGCACAAGUCAAGGCUCCAUAUUCAUUGAACCCGUCAAAAACUGUUGCAAAACACCAUGGUAAAGAUAUUAUUAGGAAAUCUCAAAGAAAGAACAGGUUUUUGUUUUCAUUUCCUGGUCUUCUUGCUCCUAUUAAUGGAGGUGGCAAGAUUGGCGAGCUCAAAGACUUGUCCUCUAAAAACCCUGUUCUUUACCUCGAUUUCCCUCAGGGACAGAUGAAGCUGUUUGGGACAAUUUUGCAUCCAAAGAAUAGAUAUUUGACAUUGCAAUUCUCUAGGAGUGGAAAGAAUGUUAUGUGUGAGGAUUAUUUUGAUCACAUGAUUAUAUUUUCUGAGGCAUGGUGGAUUGGAACGAAAGAAGAGAACCCCGAAGAAUUGAAACUUGAUUUUCCCAACGAACUGUUUGAGGGAAAAGGUGUUGAAUGUGAUUUUAAAGGUGGGGCAGGAGCAGGAUCUGUCAAUAAGCAAGUACUUCAAAAGAGUGGUGGAACCAAAUAUGUAAAAGAAGAGUCUCCUGAAACUGAGCUUGAUGAUGAUUUAUCAGAUGAUAACAAUGAUUUUAAAGAUUUGAAUGAAACUACACCAAUUCGGCAAUCUGCAAGAACUUCUGGGAAAAAAUUCAAGUUUACUGAAGUUUCCUCGGGAGAUGAUUCUGCUGAAGGAAGUCCUGAUGCCUUGGGGGUGGAGGAGGAGGAGGAAAAUAAAGUGAAAACUAACAUGUCCUCUGGUAUAAUUCUUGACAUUGAAAGUGAAAGUUCUAGAGAAGGGAAUCAUCUUUCUGAGAAAAUUCAAGCAUCUAUAACCAAAUCUAAAAAGCUUUCUGAGUCUGCUGCUUCAGUGACGAUACCUAAGGAAAACUUGAAUAAUAGUCAUGGUUCACUUGUUCAGUCAACCAUAUCCACGUUGUUCAAGAAAGUGCAGGAAAAGAAGAAAGUGAUGGAAAAGGAGACACCGAGAAAUUCAAGGAAAUCCUCAUCAUCAAAAGUUUCUGAUCAGAAGUUGCAGAAAACUGAUUUGAAAAGGAAGAUCGAUCUGGUUGAAGCACCUAGGAAAAGAGGAACAGUGACUGAAGGGAAAAAAGCUGGUUACUCUCUUGCUCUGAUUGUUUAAAAGUUUUACAAUUACAGGGACGGGAUCCAAGGCAAAGAAGAAAGUGAAUGAGGUUGAAGAUGAUGACAUUGAAGAAUUCUCAAGCUCAUCACAGGGUACUGAAGGAAGUGAUGAAGAUUGGGAAGCCUGAGAUUGUAACUCAACUUGAGUGGAUGGAAAUACCAAAGGAAACCUUGAACUUGCAUAUAGGCAUUUGAACAUCCAAAAUUCUCGUCUGUAGGGAAGGCAUGAUGCAAUAUGUCUGGAUAGAAUUUCUUGGUUCUGUUCCAGAUGCAAAUUUAUUCAUCCAUUUCUGAUAAUGGCUUUGGAACUGGCAAACAUAAGGUUCAAAUCAAUAUUAGAAGAAGAAUCAGUCGGUAUGCAGCUUUGCUCAGCCCAUACGAUGAGUCAAAUUCAGGAACAAAUUUCAUGAAUGGGGUUUUCUUUGUUGUACGAUUCAAAAGCCAGGGACUUCUCAUUUGUUGAUUUGCCAAUUUCCUUAAUUAUACUAUAGUCAUUUGCAAUGAGGGUAAGGGCCCUGUGAUUGGGGUUCGGUUGAGUUAAAUUUGUUGUGUUCUAUGUUAGUCACUAACUCACUAUUGCUAGUUGGCUCUUGAGACAACUGCUGAUAUUGCCUCUUCCUCGUCAAUGUCCUUUUACAGAUUUUAUUAAGAAACCUCAAUAAACUCCACAAAUCUACUCAA